rnacentral:lncRNA from 1 species
ACGUCACAAUGGAUUGGCUCCCGUUGAAAUGCAUGGGAUUAGAAUAUCGCGUUGCUCGUAACGGUGUCAUGGGUUUGCACCGUUAGAUGUGUAUAUAGGUUAUCUAUGCAAAUUUCCAUUUGUCGUGUAAUUUAAGAAUCUAUUUGUUUUGGUUGUGUAUUAUUGCAAGAAGUAUUACAUCUUCAUGCUUUUAUUCCUGCCUUAGCUUAAUCAUUGUGUAAUCAUGGGGGGGUUAUUGUCUGCACCAAUAUGCCAAAACAAAUUCCUGGUAGGUAUAAAAUUACUUUCUAAAAACAAUUCUGAUUCAGAUACAGUAAAUCCUUGUUGAAUGAGUAGUAAAUUCUCAGAGCGACAUAACAUUAUUAACUAUCACUCCGGUAAUAGCCAAGACUGUAUCAGCGGUGGUGAAUAAAUAACUGGAGUCAGAUUGGUCAAGAGAUAGUUUCAACCAUCUAAGCAGUUUCACCUGGGCACCGGAUAAGACAGUCAUACAUUGAACCUUUGGCCGUUAGUCUGGUGUCCACACCUGGGCCGUUAGUCUGGUCUCCACACCUGGGCCGUUAGUCUGGUGUCCACACCUGGGCCGUUAGUCUGGUCUCCACACCUGGGCCGUUAGUCUGGUCUCCACACCUGGGCCAGCAGCGGCUCCCUCCAGAAUAUAUCAGAUGGAGAGAAGGUGACUUUUAGUGAAAUUUUUUAAUUUUUAAAUUACUAUUACUUUUGGUCAGAAAGUCUUGUCUGAGGCAUGGGAAGAUAUUUUAAUGGGUUACUCACAGUAGACAACAGAUCUGUGUAGUUUAGGUAGACUACAUGAAAGUGCCUCAAUGAUACCUACAGUAGGAUUCAAGUUAGAUGAUCAGUUUAUACUGGAAAAAGGUGCCCCUUUGCUGUUGUUGUUUAAUAUGAUGCUCUAUUUUUGUAUGCCAAAGGCACCUAUCCUCACACAAAUACUGCCAUUAUGCCAUUAAGAAGGUGUUCUGUGGUGUCGUUGCCAGGCAGCUCCAUCAUGCCCUAUAUUUUGUCUUCAUUUAAAGUCUGUGCUAUCAUAGUUAAAAUAUGCAUAGGUGGAACACAUUAUGUGAGAGCUCCAAUGCAGGAAUCAUGUAAAGAUCUUUGAGAAUAGAAAUGAUUGGCAGACUUCUGGCAAUUGUCUUAUAUGUUAAUAAAUCUUUUUUUCCAGUAUAUCCA